UACGUAGGGUGCGAGCGUUUGUCCGGAAUCAUUGGGCGUAAAGGGCGCGUAGGUGGCGGGACAAGCGUGCGGUGAAAGCUUGGGGCUCAACCCCGAGUCGGCCGUGCGAACUGUUUUGCUUGAGCACUGUAGAGGCAGGCGGAAUUCCCGGUGUAGCAGUGAAAUGCGUAGAGAUCGGGAGGAACACCAGUGGCGAAGGCGGCCUUCUGGACCAAUACUGACGCUCAUGCACGAAAGCGUGGGGAGCAAACAGG
rnacentral:rRNA from 1 species